rnacentral:rRNA from 1 species
CCUACGGGUGGCAGCAGUGAGGAAUAUUGGUCAAUGGGCGCGAGCCUGAACCAGCCAAGUAGCGUGAAGGAUGACGGCCCUACGGGUUGUAAACUUCUUUUAUAAAGGAAUAAAGUGAGGCGCGUGUGCCUUUUUGAGUGUAUUUUAUGAAUGAGGAUCGGCUAACGCCGUGCCAGCAGCCGCGGUAAUACGUAGGAUCCGAGCGUUGUCCGGAUGUAUUGGGGUUAAGGGGAGCGUAGAUGGGUUGUUAAGUCAGAUGUGAAAGUUUGCGGCUCAACCGUAAUAUUGCAAUUGAUACUGGCAGACUUGAGUACAGUUGAGGUAGGCGGAAUUCGUGGUGUAGCGGUGAAAUGCUUAGAUAUCACGAAGAACUCCGAUUGCGAAGGCAGCCUACUAAACUGCCACUGACAUUGAUGCUCGAAAGCGUGGGGAGCAAACAGGAUUAGAUACCCGGGUAGUC